UACGGAGGAUCCAAGCGUUAUCCGGAUUUAUUGGGUUUAAAGGGUGCGUAGGCGGUCUGGUAAGUCGGCGAUGAAAGCCCGGGGCUCAACCCCGGAACUGUCGUCGAUACUGUCGGACUUGAAUAGAAGUGGAGGCUGGCGGAAUGGGCGGUGUAGCGUGAAAUGCAUAGAUACCGUCCAGAACCCCGAUUGCGAAAGGCAGCUGGCUGUACUCUUAUUGACGCUGAGG
rnacentral:rRNA from 1 species